UUUAAUUAACAUUUUAACAUAUUUAUUUAACAAAUGUAAUUUAUGAAUUUUAAUAAAUAAUUAUUAUAAGCUUUAUUAGUUAAAAGGAAAAAAAAAAAAAGGGGAGGGCGGCACGUGGUGGACUCCGCAAAUUGAUAAUCAUAGCAUGAGUUAGAGAUGCAAACGUAUAGGUCGAAAGUGGAAGGAAAAUCGUAGCGUAAUUAAAUAGAAGAACAAAUAUAUACUAAUGUGCAGACUGUUAACGUCAUGAUUAAUUUUAGUGUAUGUUAAUUAUGUUGCAUUAUAAAAUUAUAUCUAUGAUACUGGAUCGAUCAUUGAGGUCUGUCUCAAAGCAAGUACAUCCCCGGGAGAACUCCGACACUCAAGUCAAUAGAAGAAAAAUACCCGAAAUGGAAAGUCACACAGUAGUCAGAUGAUCCAUACCUGUAGAAGUUGACCUCUAUUUAAAUAUGGCGUAGAGCAUACUCUGAAAAGAGAAUAUAACCUCUGAACAAGACGUUGGAGAGAAUCUAGGUUGACCGAUUCAGCCUCGUUCAAAAUCAAAUGUGGGAUGAAGAUUUAGAUGACACGUGACACUUCAUGAGACAAGCACGUGGUGGCACUAGGUUGAUAGUCUCCGAGGGUAAUAUAUUUUACCCUUAGUAAAAUAUCCCCUCACCAUUUGUCCCCCAACUUCUUGAGCUGUGAGAGUGAGGAGCUCGGGCAACUAGAGGAAUAGUCCUUUAAGCUUUUUCGCUUUCCUGUAAAAAGAGUUUUGUAAAAAAUAAAUAGAAUUAAAAUAUCUCAAUUAUUGGUUCGCUUUCCAUCUCAAAGUCCCAUCACUCUUCUCAUGGCCUUCCAAGGACUAUAAAAAAGAGAUGUGGGCAUGGUCCCUUCCUCCUAAGAAUUAUUGGAGUGAGAGCAUUCUUGGAGUGGAGUAAAAAGGUAUGAAGCCUCUCCCCCUCUCUUUUUCUUUUUCUUUUUAUUUUAUUUUUUAUUUCUAUUUUUUUAUUUGCGCGUGGCUGAGACCAGCGGUCUUGGCCUCGCUGGUGGAGGCCGCAGCCUGAGGGCCACGGUGGCCUCGGCCACUCUGGCCGAGGCCGCGCGGCGCUGCAUGCGGGGGUCCUGCUGCCCCCUUUUUUUUUUUUUUUGCCUGCCUCUCUAAUUUAUUUUUUUUUUUGGCAGGUUUCCCACAAGGCACGAGAGACUCCGAGCGGCGCUUUCAAGUUCAAUAGGGAACGGACCGGCUCCCUCAUAAGGGUUCUCCCGUGCAUUUCCCUUUCAUCUUUGGAAUUCUUCUUAUCCAUCGGUAUUCCUUUGCCUCCCUUCUCUUAUUUUUCUGUGAUUUUUCAUCCUCUCUUCCGCAUGUCACGUUGUUUUAAUAAGUCGAUCCCCACGACCUCCUCUAGUAACUCAGAUGGGAAUAACUCAGACUCUUUUAGCUCAUCUUCCCAGUCUAGUAUGCAAAUAGGAGACGUUGGGACCUCCCGGCCCCAUCCUGAUGCGUCCUCUUUUGAUAACGAUACUGACCUAGAGUUAGAGCUCCAUCAUAGUGGUCUCCCUAAUGACCUAACCCCUGCUUAUUCUUCCUUGUCCGAGGAUGAGAUCUCCGGACUCCCCCGAAAAUAUCAUCUCCCCAUCACGGGCUACUGGUACUCUGCACCUUCCAACCUUAGAGCCCAUCAAUCCCCUCCUGGGGGUUUAACCAUCUAUGAAGUCUCUCUUGAAGCCGGGUGUCGGUUCCCUUUUGAAGGCACCAUAGCUAAGAUCUUUCGCCUUGUAGGGUUAUCUCCUUCUCAGCUAGUGCCCAACGGGUUAAGGAACUUAGUCUCUUUCGUUAUAUGUUGUCGGGGGAGAGAUAUUGUCCCUAAAGCUGAGUUCUUCUUAAAAUUAUUUCGCCUUGUAUGCGUUGAUAAGUCCAAAUUUCAUUACUCCUUCAUGGCAUACCCUGGUUGUAAGUUCCUCGUAUACACCCCGUCCUCUUUGAAAGGUUAGAAAAAUCGAUAUUUUUUCAUGGGAUCUUCCUCCGUUACCAUGGGUGUGCCUACCUCCUGGCGUCGGCCUCACUGUACAAAUUUUUCACGUGAAAUGUCCCCUUUAGAGAAGAGGGAUGCUGAGCUUUUGAUGAGUUUGGAGCACGUCAGUACCGCCAGAUUGAUUAACGAACAAACUCUGCUUCUCGGGGGGGCUGUGCCGAUACCCCUGCCCAGCAGCCGACAUUCCCUUAGCCACGAUGAUUGACGAUGCGGAGCUAUAGGGGCCGAUAAACAGGCCGCUGAAGAGGCCAAACGGGCUCGGAAGAAUGCUAAGCGACAUACCAAAGACUCUCGGCUCCCACCUCGGCACAAAAAAUCGAAGGCCACUGGGUCUUGUUCUUCUUUGCCCCGAGCUGAGGUAGGGGGCUCCCAAAGCAUCGAGCCUCUUUCUAACAUGAUCGAGGGGGAGGCGUUCAUUCCCGCCCGGACUCUUCACCGACCAGACUGGAACGUUCAUGAGUCAGACCAUAGCAACGAGACUUGGGUGGCGACUCAGCUUAUUCAGGGUCUAUCAACUCAGGCGGACCUGGAAGGGGUCGCGGAUCUGACUUCAGAGACCUUGGGGUCGUGCUAUUGUCGGGGCUUGGUUCAAAGUAUUGUCGCUCAAAACGAGCUCCAAAGGCGAAUGGCAAGGAACUCACGAAAAAUACUUGAGUUGGAUAAUGCCCUUGCUGAGUGCCAUAAGACCAUCGAGCAGCGGGAUGAGAAUCUAAGGGCUCAACAUCAACGAUCCGCGGAGCUGGAGGAGCCCCUCCAAAACCUUGAGAUUAAUCGCCAUGCAACGGAGGGAGAGUUGGGGCGGUUUAAACAGCGCAACAACGCGUUCAGGAGCUAGAGGAGAGAUAUGCAGACCCCACCCAACUCCCCGAGGUGAAAGGGUUUAUUAAACGGGAGUUGUAGGGUGUCUCGAAGAAAGGCUUCAUUCGGAGCAAGGAGGAAGUGCAAAAAGCCUUCCCCGACUUCGAUUUCUCCCCCGUCAGACCUAUGGAGGACGUGAUCGCAGAGCUCAACCGAGCAUUAUCCUCCCGAGCCUUCGCCAUUGAAUCUGAAGAGUCCGAAGA